rnacentral:rRNA from 1 species
UGGGGAAUAUUGGACAAUGGGCGCAAGCCUGAUCCAGCCAUGCCGCGUGAGUGAUGAAGGCCCUAGGGUUGUAAAGCUCUUUCACCGGUGAAGAUAAUGACGGUAACCGGAGAAGAAGCCCCGGCUAACUUCGUGCCAGCAGCCGCGGUAAUACGAAGGGGGCUAGCGUUGUUCGGAUUUACUGGGCGUAAAGCGCACGUAGGCGGACUUUUAAGUAAGGGGUGAAAUCCCGGGGCUCAACCCCGGAACUGCCUUUGAUACUGGAAGUCUUGAGUAUGGUAGAGGUGAGUGGAAUUCCGAGUGUAGAGGUUAAAUUCGUAGAUAUUCGGAGGAACACCAGUGGCGAAGGCGGCUCACUGGACCAUUACUGACGCUGAGGUGCGAAAGCGUGGGGAGCAAACAGG